AGAGUUUGAUCAUGGCUCAGAUUGAACGCUGGCGGCAGGCUUAACACAUGCAAGUCGAGCGGAGAUGAGGUGCUUGCACCUUAUCUUAGCGGCGGACGGGUGAGUAAUGCUUAGGAAUCUGCCUAUUAGUGGGGGACAACAUUCCGAAAGGGAUGCUAAUACCGCAUACGUCCUACGGGAGAAAGCAGGGGAUCUUCGGACCUUGCGCUAAUAGAUGAGCCUAAGUCGGAUUAGCUAGUUGGUGGGGUAAAGGCCUACCAAGGCGACGAUCUGUAGCGGGUCUGAGAGGAUGAUCCGCCACACUGGGACUGAGACACGGCCCAGACUCCUACGGGAGGCAGCAGUGGGGAAUAUUGGACAAUGGGGGGAACCCUGAUCCAGCCAUGCCGCGUGUGUGAAGAAGGCCUUAUGGUUGUAAAGCACUUUAAGCGAGGAGGAGGCUACUGAGACUAAUACUCUUGGAUAGUGGACGUUACUCGCAGAAUAAGCACCGGCUAACUCUGUGCCAGCAGCCGCGGUAGUACAGAGGGUGCGAGCGUUAAUCGGAUUUACUGGGCGUAAAGUGUGCGUAGGCGGCUUUUUAAGUCGGAUGUGAAAUCCCCGAGCUUAACUUGGGAAUUGCAUUCGAUACUGGGAAGCUAGAGUAUGGGAGAGGAUGGUAGAAUUCCAGGUGUAGCGGUGAAAUGCGUAGAGAUCUGGAGGAAUACCGAUGGCGAAGGCAGCCAUCUGGCCUAAUACUGACGCUGAGGUACGAAAGCAUGGGGAGCAAACAGGAUUAGAUACCCUGGUAGUCC
rnacentral:rRNA from 1 species